rnacentral:rRNA from 1 species
UACGAAGGGGGCUAGCGUUGUUCGGAAUUACUGGGCGUAAAGCGCACGUAGGCGGACAUUUAAGUCAGGGGUGAAAUCCCAGAGCUCAACUCUGGAACUGCCUUUGAUACUGGGUGUCUUGAGUAUGGAAGAGGUGAGUGGAAUUCCGAGUGUAGAGGUGAAAUUCGUAGAUAUUCGGAGGAACACCAGUGGCGAAGGCGGCUCACUGGUCCAUUACUGACGCUGAGACGCGAAAGCGUGGGGAGCAAACAGG